UUACGGCAAUAUAACGUGGUAAUAACCGAUUCCGGUACGAUCAUCGAAGUUAAACAAGGUCGAGCCUGGUCAGUACCUACAUGGGUGACCGAUUGGGAAUACCAGGUGCUGUAAU